rnacentral:rRNA from 1 species
GACGAACGCUGGCGGCGUGCUUAACACAUGCAAGUCGAACGGACAGGCCCUGCUUUUGUGGGUUGCUCGAGUGGCGAACGGGUGAGUAACACGUGAGUAACCUGCCCUUGACUUUGGGAUAACUUCAGGAAACUCGGGCUCAUACCGGAUAGGAUCUCCUGCUGCAUGUUGGGGGUUGGAAAGUUUCGGCGGUUGGGGCUGUACUCGCUGCUUAUCAGCUUGUUUGUGGGGUAGUGGCUUACCAAGGCUUUGACGGGUAGCCGGCCUGAGAGGGUGACCGGCGACAUUGGGACUGAGAGACGGAGCAGACUCCUACGGGAGGCAGUAGUGGGGAGUAUGGCAGAAUGGGCGGAAGCCUGAUGCAGCAACGCCGGGAGCGGGAUGACGGGCUUCGGGGUGUAAACCGCUGUCGCCGGUGACGAAGAGUGAGUGACGGUAAUGGGUAAAGAAGCACCGGCUAACUACGUG